UCUUCCGCAAUGGACGAAAGUCUGACGGAGCAACGCCGCGUGAGUGAUGAAGGCUUUCGGGUCGUAAAACUCUGUUGUUAGGGAAGAACAAGUGCUAGUUGAAUAAGCUGGCACCUUGACGGUACCUAACCAGAAAGCCACGGCUAACUACGUGCCAGCAGCCGCGGUAAUACGUAGGUGGCAAGCGUUAUCCGGAAUUAUUGGGCGUAAAGCGCGGGCAGGUGGUUUCUUAGGUCGGAUGUGAAAGCCCACGGCUCAACCGGGGAGGGUCAUUGGAAACUGGGAGACUCGAGUGCAGAAGAGGAAAGUGGAAUUCCAUGUGUAGCGGUGAAAUGCGUAGAAAUAUGGAGGAACACCAGUGGCGACGGAGACUUUCUGGUCUGUAACUGACACUGAGGCGCGAAAGCGUGGGGAGCAAACAGG
rnacentral:rRNA from 1 species